rnacentral:rRNA from 1 species
CCUACGGGAGGCAGCAGUGGGGAAUAUUGGACAAUGGGGGGAACCCUGAUCCAGCGACGCCGCGUGAGUGAAGAAGUAUUUCGGUAUGUAAAGCUCUAUCAGCAGGGAAGAAAGAAAUGACGGUACCUGACUAAGAAGCCCCGGCUAACUACGUGCCAGCAGCCGCGGUAAUACGUAGGGGGCAAGCGUUAUCCGGAUUCACUGGGUGUAAAGGGAGCGUAGACGGCGAGACAAGUCUGGAGUGAAAGGCCGGGGCCCAACCCCGGGACUGCUCUGGAAACUGCCUGGCUGGAGUACAGGAGAGGUAAGUGGAAUUCCUAGUGUAGCGGUGAAAUGCGUAGAUAUUAGGAGGAACACCAGUGGCGAAGGCGGCUUACUGGACUGUAACUGACGUUGAGGCUCGAAAGCGUGGGGAGCAAACAGGAUUAGAUACCCUGGUAGUC